GGUGCUCUGGAAGGGGGCGCGGCUGCCGCCUCCGAGGUCCUUGAGAUCGUUUUACUGCAAAACGCAACUCUGGUCACGCAGGGACCUGAGCGGACCACCUCGGCACUCUUCAAUUGGCCUCCCAGGACGGACUUCCGGCAAAGCCCCUGUGAGGACCCUGAAGCGUUUGCCAUGACAACCAUGGCGGGGCAAGUUCAAGCCGGGCCUCCUUUCUGCCUUGCCGGGCUUGGGGAUUGAGGGGCCUGGACCAAAGUCUGGAACCCGCAAUGUCCGCCACUGACCCUGGCGGAUGAUUGGACUGCCUUCGGUGGUACCUGAGAGGACCAGAAGAUGGUGUCAGAUCCUCGGGAGCUGGAAUUGCUGGCAGUUGUGUGUUGCCUGACAUCAUGAGUACUAGAAAGUUAACUCAGGUAUCUAUCUAUAAGAGCAGUAAGUGCUCUUAACCACUGAGCAGUGUCUCUAACCCAACAUGAUAGAUCUGUAUAUAUAAAUACAUAUAGAUAGGAAAUUAAAAAAAAAAAAAAAAAA
rnacentral:lncRNA from 1 species